rfam:Dipodomys ordii contig_36789, whole genome shotgun sequence.
GAGGCACCGGUCGCCCCUCUGUCGCUGCCCGUAAGGCCCGCCUUGGCCGUGGGCUCCGGAGGCCGGUACCU